CUUCGCCGCCAUCCCGGUGAGGGGGCAGUUGAAGCUGGGCAGGGUCUGGGUGCGUUUGCGGGGACUUCCGAGCCAGUCGUCUGUAGAAGAUUCCCAGCCCACAAAGCUUCGAGGAGCGUUCUUCUGGCUUUCAGCCUUCUUUGAGGGAGGGGAGGGAAUCACAUCUUUGGAGAGAGGAAACAGAGUCUCAUGCUGUCUGAUCAUCUCUGUCAUCAGCUUCUGGAUCUGAGGAGUCGCUGCAAAGACAAAACAAACACAAAAUGCCUUACAUUUGUGUUCUUAUUCUUAUUUUUGAUUAGAUCAUUAAACUUGUUUUACAACGUU